UCCGUCCGCCAAAGAGUGUGCAUCUGGCUCCAUGAUUUUCCCCAAAAUAAGUGUACGUUUGGCUCCACCGCAGGUAAUUUUGCAUUCACCCCCCUGAUCUACGCCUCGAGGUCACCACAACCAGCGACGACCCAAUCCUCUCGUUCUCCCCCAAAUCGAAGCCAGUCUUCUUCCUCUUCCCCCAACUCUCCCUCCCGAUCCAAUCCCAGAUCGCUGAGAGUCAAUCAUCCAAUCCAAAGCCAUUGCUGGUCAUGCAGAGAUUAAUGGCGGCCGGUCCAUAUAAGCUGCCGGUGUGCAUCGCAAUGGAUCCAUGGAAGGCGGCGGAGGAGCGGUAGGUGGAGGAGCAGAAUCCGGCGAUGUCCAGCCAGGCAAGGCCAUCGCGGCGGCCGGCGGCGUAACACGCGACUGCGGAGGAUCUGGUUCUGGAGGCCCCCACCGUGCUCGGGCAGUCAGGUUCCGACCGCGCUCGCCCUCGUACAUCCUUCGGCGGCGGCGGUAUGGUUGCGGAGCCAAACUCGUCGACUUGGACAAGGAUGUAGCAGCUGAUGGCGAAGCUGGUGUCGGGCAUGCAGGUACUCUUCUCCAUCGGCCUCAUGUUCAUCUUCUACCUCAAGAUACUAUGAUUAUUAGAGACAGUAUGCAGAAGGAUUGAACAAGAAGAAUUGAAUAGAUCAGCGAGUUGUACCUGGAUCCAUGUUUAGAUUGAAGUGACGUGUGGGCUGGAGCUCUUCAUGCACGGCUUCACCCUCUUCAUGUACGGCUUCAUCCUCUUCAUGUACAGCUUGCUCCUGAAAGAGAGCUUCAUCUUCUUCCUGUUAUCCUGUAUGGCUUCCACUCCCUCAUGCACGGCUUCGUCUCCCUCAUCUGGUGGUAGUAUAUUCAAGUCAAUGGCCAUGGAUGGGGUGUGUGUGUGUGUGGUGUAUUCUUUGGUAAAUGUGAGCUGGCUUUGUAGCUGUGUUAGGCGUUUGGAUUCCAAUUUUUGGCGCCUGUAAUCUGGCUUACUAGUAUUGAAACUGGCGGGAACAGUGUACUGGAGUAACUGGCUGAAGCUAAAUUAGCUAGCGGGAGGAGGAAUUGUAUUUUGCUUGUGAUUUAAUGAGACAUGUGUAUUAACUGUGUACAAGAAUCGAAGCACCACCACCGCUGCCAGUUGCUUAAAUGAGGGGAGGGAG
rnacentral:lncRNA from 1 species